GGGAGGAGGAAGGAGCAGGUGAAAUGGCCUGAAGGUUGUUUCGGGUCUUUCCAUCAAAGGUAAUUUUAAAGGCCACCAGCUUAUUUCUCAGCUUCUCCUUGCCUUAAGGACUCAAUGACAAAGAAGACAUUGAAGGAGCUAUGACACCUGCAUCUGAACACUCAGUGGCUACAACCACACUGACUUGUGCUUUGGAGGAGAAAACCACUCCCACCCUGGAUUAAUACACUUUUGUGUGAGAUGGCCGAUCGAUCUGACCUUUAACUUCUUUGCAAAAUGGGGAAAAUGACUUCUAAUUUAAAGCACUUGUUAGAAUUAGGUAUAAUGUAUGGACUGUAAAAUGCCGGCUCCAGAGCAGUUGCUGAAUAAGCUGCAGCCCUGGAGAAGAAGGAAAAGGACAGGACUCCUGAAGGGACUUGGCUUCCCUCCCUGCAGCUACUUUAACAUAAUUGAUCAUCACUGCAUUUAAAUCUUAACGUAUGUAGAUGCAAUGUGAACAUGUGGUGUCCCUUACUCCCAGUUAAUGAACUAAAGUUAUGUUUUCUGUACAGGUAGCCCCGUGUAUAUAGAGACAGGUCUCUGGGAGAUGGGAGGAGAAUAUUUGAGCUGGUUAUAAGGUUUUAUUUGAUUACCUAAGGUGUUUAUUUGUGCUAUACAUUGUUGUGGUUUGCUAUUAGGCUAGUAAGUAUAGAAAAUAUAAAUGUGAACUAUUGAUCGUAUACAAUGAAAACAUCUUAAAAGUUCAGGUGACCAUUAGAGUUUGGCUAACACUGAUGUAAGUGACCCUUUAUGACAUAUCAUCUGGGGUGCUUUAUUGUGAAAAUUACCUCUUACUGAGUCUGGCUUAAAACCCUAGAGUUGGAUCUAAAGGGAUCUAAAAUAAAAUGUAAGCUGUUCAACAUCAAGGUAUGAUCAUUUUUCGAUGUUUUAUGGACAUCUGUAAUUCCUGUCUGUGUACGUCUGGGCUGUAAGGAACCACUUGC
rnacentral:lncRNA from 1 species